UGAAGAUAAUCUGGCAGUGGAAUCUGUUACUCCAUUGAUUGAUAGUGUUGGNUCAACUGAUCUGGCUGGAUAAGCAGAUUUCUCCUUCCUCCCAAACUGCUCCAUGUGCAUCCCUUCCAAAACUAUACACUCAGAGGAAGAGGACAAUCAUUUCAAUGUAGAAGGAGUGCAAUCUAAUCACUGAAGCCCUUGCUACACAUAGGUCUCUGCAGGACAUCCCACUGAGCUUCAGGUUAGAAGAGAACAGAAUAGAUAUAGUUAAAGAAGAUGCAAUGCAUUUGUCC
rnacentral:sRNA from 1 species